rnacentral:rRNA from 1 species
AUGGCGACCGCCGUGGCGUCGCAGCCGCGACACUUCACCCUCGGCGGCGAGCCGAGGGCAGCCAUCUGCGCAGCCAGCACAUCAAAGAUUUGCACCCUGGACAAAGUAUAUGGAUUCAGGUUCGUAUGCAGAAGUGUUGUUGAUCUAAGGAGUCAAAAAUUCCAUUCCCAAAUUUCUAAGAGAAAGUGCUAUUUAACAAGUUCACCAUCGGAAUUUGAGAAGAUCAUUUUGAGUGCUAGAUGGUUAGAAUUUAGGAGACAGAGGAUAGCCUUUCAGAGAACUAGAAGGUGGGUUCACAGUAUUCCAUUGGCUUCUCAAGAUGAUGGCAGUGGUGUGUCUGUUAAUGGAGUACCACAAGUUGAUCCAGCAAGUCAAAUGAAGGAAAUAAGGGUGGAAUUGGAUAAAGCAUUGCAAAAUGAAGACAUAAGCACUGGCCUUGUCCAAUCAAUACAUGAUGCUGCGAGAUCUAUUGAAUUGGCUUUCCUUGAUCACAGCAAAUCAUCAAUAAACUCUUGGUUCCCAAAGAUGUGGCUUGGUGUCGAUAACAAUGCAUGGAUAAAAUCACUGUCUUACCAGGCUGCUGUUAGCUCGUUACUGCAAGCAGUUAUCGAUGUUUCAUCAAGGGGGAACGGCAGAGAUAGAGAUAUUAAUGUAUUUGUUCAAAGGAGUUUAUCCCGCCUUCUCAGCUCUCUAGAUGGUGUUAUACAGAAUGAAUUGGCUAGAAGGGAACCUUCAUUAUAUCAGUGGUAUUCAUCUAAUCAAAAUCCAUUGGUGGUGAGGACAUUUGUGAACACUUUUGAAAAUGAUCGACGAUUUAAUUCUGCAACAGCAAUAUGCAGCGAAGGCAAGCCAAUGGAUACUAGUGAAAGUGACCUUUCUUUGCUUGUGCUUGGUCUGUUCUGUCUUGCUGCUAUUACGAAGCUAGGAUCAGCAAAAGUUUCUUGUCAGCAGUUUUUCUCCAUGGUCCCUGAUAUUAUUGGCCGAUUCAUGGAUAUGCUUCUUGAAUUCGUUCCUAUAAGUAAAGCGUAUACCUUGACGAAAGAUAUUGGUCUUCAGAGAGAAUUCUUGUGCAAUUUUGGUCCUCGUGCUGCUGUUCCUAAGUUUGCUAAUGAUCAUGGACUUGAGAUAUCAUUUUGGAUUGAUCUGGUUCAGAAACAAUUACUAAGGGCUCUUGAUCGUGAAAAGAUAUGGUCAAGACUGACAACAAGUGAAACUAUUGAGGUUUUGGAAAAGGACCUAGCGAUAUUUGGUUUUUUCAUUGCUUUAGGCAGAAGUACACAAGUAUACCUGUCUUCCAAAAGUCAUACAGAUUCAAAUGAUUCUAUCAAUAGUAUUGUAAGGUACCUUAUUGGUGGGAGCGUCCUAUAUUAUCCACAGUUGUCCUCGAUUAGUUCUUAUCAGUUGUAUGUGGAGGUUGUUUGUGAAGAGCUUGAGUGGCUUCCAUUUUACUAUGAAGAUGUGCCAACGCCAAUAGUUAAUACUGAAGGCAGAAAAGAAAUGCCUAAAAGAGAACUGAUAUCAAGGGUGCUAAAUGUCUGCACUUAUUGGAUGACUAGUUUUAUAAAGUAUAGCUCAUGGCUUGAGAACCCCUUAAAUGUAAAGGCAGCACGAUUCCUAUCUAAGGGGCAUGCCAUGUUGAGGGACUGCAUGACUGAGCUUGACAUAGCAAAAAAUAAUAUGCCUAAAGACCGAAGUUUUCAAGAAAGUGGAGUAUUGGUUGAUGCGACUGAGCUAGCUUCCAUUGACAAGUCACUUGAAAGUGUUGAGGAAGCUUUGGUUAAGUUAGAAAAUUUGCUUCAAGAAUUGCAUCUUUCCAGUACCAACUCUGGUAAGGAGGAUCUAAAGGCUGAUCUAGAAAUGAUCAGAAGACUGAAGAAGGAAGCAGAAUUUCUUGAGGCUUCCUUUCGAGCAAAAGCAGAAUAUCUGGAGGCUGAUACUAUUAGCAGAGUGUUACCUCCUGCUGGCGAGGGAGAACACGGAAAGACGGGCAGCAUGGUUAAUGAGGUUUUAACACCACAAAAACCAGUAAAUAGGAUGGAGAACAAUCGUCGUCCGUUUUGGGACAUUUUUGGUAUGACUUCUGGAAGGAAAAUUGUGCCAGCACAACAAGCUGUGGAUCAGGAUGCUUCUGCUGCCAAGGUGGAUCAAAUAGACAUGGAGUCAAAUGACAUCCGCCGCUUCGAACAGUUGAGACGUGAGUUGAUUGAGUUAGAAAGGAGAGUGCAGAAGAGUACAGAUGGUGCUAAAAAAGAGGAGUUCCAGGAAACGGAGGUUCCAGAUGAAACAAUGAGCCCUUCUGAGUCAGCACCCCCUCUGUCAGGGCCUUCUGGUUCAGUAAUCAAGAAAGAAAAUGUUAUUACAAAAUCGGUAGAGAAAGUUAAGGAGAGUACAACGAUUGUGUUGCAAGGGACACAGCUCUUAGCAAUUGAUACAGGAGCUGCUAUGGGUUUACUGAAAAGAUCUCUUAUUGGGGAGGAACUAACUCAGAAGGAGAAGCAGGCUCUUCAGAGAACCCUGACAGAUUUGGCAUCUGUCGUUCCAAUAGGAAUACUCAUGCUUCUACCAGUUACUGCUGUUGGGCAUGCUGCUAUUUUGGCUUUCAUCCAGAGAUAUGUGCCUUCCAUGAUCCCAUCCACAUAUGGCCCCGAGAGGUUAGAUCUCCUCAGGCAGCUUGAGGAAGUGAAGGAAAUGAAAUUGCCUGAAGGCAGCAGUGAAGAUAUUUCUGACGCAAUAGGUUUGAGAGGUGACCAAGUGAAAUAA